CAGAAAGUGAUCGAGACUCGGUGGCGGAGCGCACCGACUGCCGCCAGGAUGAGGAGGCUGCAGACUGUUGCUUUGGGAGCAAAGGAUCGUGCUUCAAAAGUCUGAGGACAAGUUUGUCCUCUGCGAGCUUGGCUAGAAUAAUUCCCCGGUGGCCACACAACAGGGUGCACCUUGCCACUGAGCCAGAUGAAGCAACGCACGCCGACGAUGUUGUGGAGGCCGGUGGGAGUGAGAAGACCGAGGCAAAGCCCCGGGCUGGGGGACAUGAGGACGAGGCGGCCCCAGUACCUGAGGUGGAGGAGGAGGAGGAGGCGGGCCGGCCCCUUGAAAAUGGCCAGGAGGAGUCCCCAGCCAUCGCCUGGGCCGAGCCGGAAGACGAGCCUGGCCCCAAGGUGGACGGGGCGGACGAUGAAAUCUAUGUCCACGCAGCAGUGGGACUGCGGGGUCCCGUGCUAGGUCCGUGGGCAGCUUUCCUGAGGACCUGCCAUAGUGUUUCCCGUCCUGGCUGGGCCAGCUGACCUUCCCGCCCAC